GACAGAGGUGCCAAGCGUUAGGCGGAAUCACUGGGCUUAAAGCGUGUGUAGGUGGAUUUGUAAGUACCUUGUGAAAUCCCAUGGCUCAACCAUGGAACUGCUCGGUAUACUGCGAAUCUUGAGCCACUUAGGGGCUACCGGAACAAAUGGUGGAGCGGUGAAAUGCGUAGAUAUCAUUUGGAACGCCAAUGGUGAAAACAGGUAGCUGGGAGUGUGCUGACACUGAGACACGAAAGCCAGGGGAGCGAAACGGG
rnacentral:rRNA from 1 species